CAGUCGCCGCUGGAAUACGGAGGGUGCAAGCGUUAAUCGGAAUUACUGGGCGUAAAGCGCACGCAGGCGGUCUGACAAGUCAGAUGUGAAAUCCCCGGGCUUAACCUGGGAACUGCAUUUGAAACUGUCAGGCUGGAGUCUUGUAGAGGGGGGUGGAAUUCCAGGUGUAGCGGUGAAAUGCGUAGAGAUCUGGAGGAAUACCGGUGGCGAAGGCGGCCCCCUGGACAAAGACUGACGCUCAGGUGCGAAAGCGUGGGGAGCAAACAGGAUUAGAUACCCGGGUAGUCCCUGUCUCUUAUAC
rnacentral:rRNA from 1 species